AUAUCAAUAAGCGGAGGAAAAGAAACUAACAAGGAUUCCCCUAGUAACUGCGAGUGAAGCGGGAAAAGCUCAAAUUUGAAAUCUGGCGGCCUUUGACCGUCCGAGUUGUAAUCUAGAGAAGUGUUACCCGUGCUGGACUGUGUACAAGUCUCCUGGAAUGGAGCGUCAUAGAGGGUGAGAAUCCCGUCUUUGACACGGACUGCCAGGGCUUUGUGAUGCGCUCUCGAAGAGUCGAGUUGUUUGGGAAUGCAGCUCAAAAUGGGUGGUAAAUUCCAUCUAAAGCUAAAUAUUGGCGAGAGACCGAUAGCGCACAAGUA
rnacentral:rRNA from 1 species